UGGCUUAGAUGGUAAAGCGUCUGCCUACAAUGCAGGAGACCCGGGUUCAAUCCCUUG
rnacentral:tRNA from 1 species